rnacentral:rRNA from 1 species
AUUGAACGCUGGCGGCAGGCCUAACACAUGCAAGUCGAACGAGUGGCGGACGGGUGAGUAAUGUCUGGGAAACUGCCUGAUGGAGGGGGAUAACUACUGGAAACGGUAGAUAAUACCGCAUACCAUCGGAUGUGCCCAGAUUGGAUGAGCUAGUAGGUGGGGUAACGGCUCACCUAGGCGACGAUCCCUCGCUGGUCUGAGAGGAUGACCAGCAACACGUGAACUUAGACACGGGCCAGACUCCUACGGUGUGCAGCAGUGGGGAAUAUUGCACAAUGGGCGCAAGCCUGAUGCAGCCAUGCCGCGUGUGUGAAGAAGGCCUUCGGGUUGUAAAGCACUUUCAGCGGGGAGGCGUUACCCGCAGAAGAAGCACCGGCUAACUCCGUGCCAGCCGCCGCGGUAAUAC